rnacentral:lncRNA from 1 species
UGGAGAAAAGACCAGCCCUCUCAGCCCUCCCAGCCCUCUGUAUUUCCAGAGUGGUCUUUGUGUGUCUUAGGUCUUUGUUUUGUGUUACUUGUCACUUUGACGAUGGGACUCUUCUGAGUUUGACUUUAGACCACUGGACUAAACUUAGGGCUAAAGCAUACAAUUUGUCAGUUAAGAUUAAGAAAGGACCAUGACAGACUUUUUGCUCCUCUGAGUGGCAGGCGUUUGAUGUCGGCUGGCCUCCAGAGGGCACCUUUGACCAUUAUUUUUGAUCUGCUCUCCUUCAUCUGUCUUGUUGGGAAAGAGGAGUGAUGUGAAAUCCGCUCGUUUUCAUCUGUCUUUGGUGAGCUCACAGAAACUCCUGUCUGAAUCAGUUCAGCUUUGUGGUGAUCUCUUGGCGGCCG